rnacentral:rRNA from 1 species
GAUGAACGCUAGCGGCAGGCUUAAUACAUGCAAGUCGAGGGGCAGCAGGACUGUAGCAAUACAGUUGCUGGCGACCGGCAAACGGGUGCGGAACACGUACGCAACCUACCCAAAACUGGGGGAUAGCCCGGGGAAACCCGGAUUAAUACCUCGUAACCUUUUUAAGUGGCAUCACUUGAUAAGUAUAGCUCCGGCGGUUUUGGAUGGGCGUGCGCCUGAUUAGGUAGUUGGUGCGGGUAACGGCCCACCAAGCCUGCGAUCAGUAACUGGUGUGAGAGCACGACCAGUUACACGGGGACUGGGACACGGGCCCGACUCCUACGGGAGGCAGCAGUAAGGAAUAUUGGUCAAUGGACGCAAGUCUGAACCAGCCAUGCCGCGUGAAGGAUGAAGGUCCUCUGGAUUGUAAACCUCUUUUAUGGGGGACGAAACCCGGAUAUUCUUAUCCGAUUGACGGUACCUCAGGAAUAAGCACCGGCUAACUCCGUG